rnacentral:rRNA from 1 species
AACGAACGCUGGCGGCAGGCUUAAUACAUGCAAGUCGAACGCGAAAUAGGCUUUCGGGUCUAUUUUGAGUGGCAGACGGGUGAGUAACACGUGGGAACCUACACAAUGGUACGGAAUAACUGAGGGAAACUUCAGCUAAUACCGUAUGUGCCCUAAGGGGGAAAGAUUUAUCGCCAUUGAAUGGGCCCGCGCCGGAUUAGUUUGUUGGUGGGGUAAUGGCCUACCAAGACUACGAUCUGUAGCUGGUCUGAGAGGAUGAUCAGCCACACUGGGACUGAGACACGGCCCAG